UUUUUUAAGUCAACUGGUGUUUUAUUAAAACAACGUAAUAUUACAAGGAAAGCCUAAAGAAAAGGCAAGAAAACUUAAACACAAAGAGGUCCAACAACAAAGCCCAACAACACGAAAACGCCAGAAGAGGGCCGAAACAGCGGGACCCAAACAAAAGAGCCCAAAGAAAAAAGGCCUAAAGAAGACGGUGACCAGGCUCAACAAAGCUCCACCACGUGUUAGAUGCAAAGCAAAAGGAAGACACGUGUGAAGGAUCAGAGACGUCACCAACUUCACCGAUAGGAAAGUUAUCGCCGGAGAGUAAUCCACCACCACCGGAACAUACCGGAACAGGAGACCGAAUUACUGAACCAUCGACAACAAACGCUUAACAACUUGAGAAUCAGUAUUUUCCUUCACCGUUAGAGAAGAAGCUCGCCGGAAGACCACCACCGUCAAGAGACGCAACGCCCCAAAACAGAAGAGUCACCACCGUCGCGAAGAUAAAACUAAACCAACGGAUCCUCGCUUCAAAAUAAAACGGAGAUAAGCCAGCCGACAUCACCGAAAGAUCUGGUGUGUCGCCGGAGACGGUAGCCGACUGAUUCACCGAAGAGGCAAGUGAAACACCGGAAACAAAAGCCAGCCAUGAGAUGCUGAAGAAGCCACCUAUGCUGGAACCAUUCCCAAACGGGAAUCAUCUCACCGGAAAGAAGACCGGCGAGCCUACAGACUCUCAUCACAAACUCUCUGUGAAAAGUAUGAAAGAGAGAACAG
rnacentral:lncRNA from 1 species